rfam:Streptomyces sp. NBRC 110027 DNA, contig: TPA059806.
AUCCUGGGGCUGGAGUCGGUCCCAAGGGUUGGGCUGUUCGCCCAUUAAAGCGGUACGCGAGCUGGGUUUAGAACGUCGUGAGACAGUUCGGUCCCUAUCCGCUGUGCGCGUAGGAGUCUUGAGAAGGGCUGUCCCUAGUACGAGAGGACCGGGACGGACGAACCUCUGGUGUGCCAGUUGUCCUGCCAAGGGCAUGGCUGGUUGGCUACGUUCGGAAAGGAUAACCGCUGAAAGCAUCUAAGCGGGAAGCCUGCUUCGAGAUGAGGGCUCCCACCAACUUGAUUGGUUAAGGCUCCCAGUAGACGACUGGGUUGAUAGGCCAGAUAUGGAAGCCCGGUAACGGGUGGAGUUGACUGGUACUAAUAGGCCGAGGGCUUGUCCUC